rnacentral:rRNA from 1 species
GACGAACGCUGGCGGCGUGCCUAAUACAUGCAAGUCGAACGAAGCUGUUUUAACUGGUGCUUGCACCGACUUAAACAACUGAGUGGCGAACGGGUGAAUAACACGUGGGUAACCUGCCCCAAAGCGGGGGAUAACAUUUGGAAACAGACGCUAAUACCGCAUAACCACAGAAACCACAUGGUUUCUGUGUCAAAGAUGGUUUCGGCUAUCACUUUGGGAUGGACCAGCGGCGUAUUAGCUAGUUGGUAAGGUAAUGGCUUACCAAGGCAAUGAUACGUAGCCGAACUGAGAGGUUGAUCGGCCACAUUGGGACUGAGACACGGCCCAAACUCCUACGGGAGGCAGCAGUAGGGAAUCUUCCACAAUGGACGAAAGUCUGAUGGAGCAACGCCGCGUGAGUGAAGAAGGUUUUCGGAUCGUAAAACUCUGUUGUCAGAGAAGAACGUGUGCGAGAGUAACUGCUCGUGCAGUGACGGUAUCUGGCCAGAAAGCCACGGCUAACUACGUGCCAGCCGCCGCGGUAA